rnacentral:sRNA from 1 species
UGGUAACUUCCCUUGACAAGAAUCAUUUUGUUUCUGAGAAUUUUAGCUGUAAUGGGAACCUUAGAGGUCCAAAAUUCGCCAGAAGCAUCGUGAGAUUGAACACCCACCAUAUGUUCGACGAAAUUACUCACAGAAAAAGUUGAGUUUAAGACAUCAUGGAGGAGGUGUCGAAGUUGAAUGUUGAGGAUGUUGAUGGAAUCUUGCAACCACAGCAUCUCCUUAUCACGGCGUGCUUCUCGUUCUUCGGUUGUCUCUUGCGUUUGUGGUGUACCAGUCACCACCCGUGACUCGAGUUCAAAUGUAUUUGGUGUACUAGACAUACUCUCAAUGAAAGCACCAAUUGAUAACACCCAAAAUGGGCUAUCAAAUAAGUAACAGAAAAGAGAUGAGAAAAUAGAAGAAAUAGAGGUUGAGGUGAAGAAUCAGAGAUGAGAAGAGAAGAAGAAAGGAGAAGAAGACAUUGAUUGUUUUUU